ensembl:lncRNA novel transcript
AAUACGCUAGAUACACUGCAGGAAGCCUAAGAGUAAGAAAUGCAACAGCCCAAUUAGAUGCUGGUGAAUGCUCAAUCCCUUUUCCUGGAGAGAAGCCAUUAAGCCUGCUCUGCUGAGCUCCAUGAGAUCACAUGUUAUUAAACUUCGUCUUUGCCAUUCACCUGAGACACUAACUUAUAGGCAAUCCAAGAAUGAGUUGUGACAGCCUGUCUCUCUACCCAGGUGGUAAUGCUUAGUGCCAUUCCCAAUGUACAUAAAGGAGAUGUCUCUGUUGUGGUAUCUUAAUAGAUCCUGUAGUUCCCACAUGUUUUGGUAACUGUUUGAUAUAAUUACUGUGUCUCAUAAAAAAUAAAUUUUUUUUAAUACAGUAA